rnacentral:rRNA from 1 species
GAUGAACGCUGGCGGCGUGCCUAAUACAUGCAAGUCGAGCGAAUGGAUUAAGAGCUUGCUCUUAUGAAGUUAGCGGCGGACGGGUGAGUAACACGUGGGUAACCUGCCCAUAAGACUGGGAUAACUCCGGGAAACCGGGGCUAAUACCGGAUAACAUUUUGAACCGCAUGGUUCGAAAUUGAAAGGCGGCUUCGGCUGUCACUUAUGGAUGGAACCGCGUCGCAUUAGCUAGUUGGUGAGGUAACGGCUCACCAAGGCAACGAUGCGUAGCCGACCUGAGAGGGGGAUCGGCCACACUUGGACAGAGACACGGCCCAGACUCCUACGGGAGGCAGCAGUAGGGAAUCUUCCGCAAUGGACGAAAGUCUGACGGAGCAACGCCGCGUGAGUGAUGAAGGCUUUCGGGUCGUAAAACUCUGUUGUUAGGGAAGAACAAGUGCUAGUUGAAUAAGCUGACACCUUGACGGUACCUAACCAGAAAGCCACGGCUAACUACGUGCCAGCCGCCGCGGUAA